rnacentral:rRNA from 1 species
UAGAUAUUAGGAGGAACACCAGUGGCGAAGGCGGCUUACUGGACGGUAACUGACGUUGAAGCUCGAAAGCGUGGGGAUCAAACAGGAUUAGAUACCCUGGUAGUCCACGCAGUAAACGAUGAUUACUAGGAGUUUGCGAUACAAUGUAAGCUCUACAGCGAAAGCGUUAAGUAAUCCACCUGGGGAGUACGCCGGCAACGGUGAAACUCAAAGGAAUUGACGGGGGCCCGCACAAGCGGAGGAACAUGUGGUUUAAUUCGAUGAUACGCGAGGAACCUUACCCGGGCUUAAAUUGCAUUUGAAUAAUCUGGAAACAGGUUAGCCGCAAGGCAAAUGUGAAGGUGCUGCAUGGUUGUCGUCAGCUCGUGCCGUGAGGUGUCGGCUUAAGUGCCAUAACGAGCGCAACCCUUAUCUUUAGUUACUAACAGGUCAUGCUGAGGACUCUAGAGAGACUGCCGUCGUAAGAUGUGAGGAAGGUGGGGAUGACGUCAAAUCAGCACGGCCCUUACAUCCGGGGCGACACACGUGUUACAAUGGCAUGGACAAAGGGCAGCUACCUGGUGACAGGAUGCUAAUCUCCAAACCAUGUCUCAGUUCGGAUCGGAGUCUGCAACUCGACUCCGUGAAGCUGGAUUCGCUAGUAAUCGCGCAUCAGCCAUGGCGCGGUGAAUACGUUCCCGGGCCUUGUACACACCGCCCGUCAAGCCAUGGGAGCCGGGGGUACCUGAAGUCCGUAACCGCAAGGAGCGGCCUAGGGUAAAACUGGUGACUGGGGCUAAGUCGUAACAAGGUAGCCGUACCGGAAGGUGCGGCUGGAACACCUCCUUUCUGGAGC